rnacentral:rRNA from 1 species
CCUACGGGAGGCAGCAGUCGAGAAUCAUUCACAAUGGGGGAAACCCUGAUGGUGCGACGCCGCGUGGGGGAAUGAAGGUCUUCGGAUUGUAAACCUCUGUCAUGUGGGAGCAAAUUAAAAAGAUAGUACCACAAGAGGAAGAGACGGCUAACUCUGUGCCAGCAGCCGCGGUAAUACAGAGGUCUCAAGCGUUGUUCGGAAUCACUGGGCGUAAAGGGUGCGUAGGCUGUUUCGUAAGUCGGGUGUGAAAGGCGCGGGCUCAACCCGCGGACGGCAGAUGAUACUGCGAGACUAGAGUAAUGGAGGGGGAACCGGAAUUCUCGGGGUAGCAGUGAAAUGCGUAGAUAUCGAGAGGAACACUCGUGGCGAAGGCGGGUUCCUGGACAUUAACUGACGCUGAGGCACGAAGGCCAGGGGAGCGAAAGGGAUUAGAUACCCGUGUAGUC